rnacentral:rRNA from 1 species
AUUGAACGCUGGCGGCAGGCUUAACACAUGCAAGUCGAGCGGAGAGAGGUAGCUUGCUACCGAUCUUAGCGGCGGACGGGUGAGUAAUGCUUAGGAAUCUGCCUAUUAGUGGGGGACAACAUUUCGAAAGGAAUGCUAAUACCGCAUACGUCCUACGGGAGAAAGCAGGGGAUCUUCGGACCUUGCGCUAAUAGAUGAGCCUAAGUCGGAUUAGCUAGUUGGUGGGGUAAAGGCCUACCAAGGCGACGAUCUGUAGCGGGUCUGAGAGGAUGAUCCGCCACACUGGAAAUGAGACACGGCCCGGACUCCUACGGGAGGCAGCAGUGGGAAAUAUUGGACAAUGGGCGGAAGCCUGAUCCAGCCAUGCCGCGUGUGUGAAGAAGGCCUUAUGGUUGUAAAGCACUUUAAGCGAGGAGGAGGCUACUUUAGUUAAUACCUAGAGAUAGUGGACGUUACUCGCAGAAUAAGCACCGGCUAACUCUGUGCCAGCCGCCGCGGUAACAC